rnacentral:rRNA from 1 species
GACGUAGGGCGCAAGCGUUGUCCGGAUUUAUUGGGCGUAAAGAGCUCGUAGGCGGCUCGUUGCGUCGGCUGUGAAAACCCGCAGCUCAACUGUGGGCUUGCAGCCGAUACGGGCGGGCUGGAGUUCGGUAGGGGAGUACUGGAAUUCCUGGUGUAGCGGUGAAAUGCGUAGAUAUCAGGAGGAACACCGAUGGCGAAGGCAGGUCUCUGGGCUGACACUGACGCUCAUGCACGAAAGCGUGGGGAGCAAACAGG